rnacentral:lncRNA from 1 species
UUGCGCAGCGGGGAGGGCGCGCGGGGCGGGGCGGGGCGCCGGGCAGGCCCUAGCCACCGCCUCGGGGUUGGGGGUGGGGGGAGCGGGCGGGCAGCCGGAGCCCGCGGCCGCCUCGGAAAACCUGGCAGCGUGGCGCCGGGGAGGAGUCCAGGGCGGCGGCGCGGGGCGCGCGCUUGGCGAGGGCGCCCCCUCCAGGGUCGACUGCAGCCUGCCUGGCUGGGGUGAGCUCGGGCUGGCCUGGGCGCCCUAACAUCAGCCGCUCCUUCCGGGAGCUCGGGCUCCUGCCGGUGAGAAACACUGCGGAAAACAGGGUCGGCGGCCUUUCUGCAGGCACCAGGCACGCUGUCACAUGAGCCCAGACGGCACUGACUGCAGCUUCUGGGUGGCUUCUCCCAGCCCCACACAGGCAGAAGCACACAUGGGGUGAGCCUGCCCCUCCCAUCCAGCCCAGACUGCUGUGUGGCAAAGCGGGUCCCUGGACUACCUGGACCACUUACAUCUCCUCUUCAUUUCUGCGGUGGCUCUGAACCUCGUGUGGGAUAUGACUGGUCCCAGAUUUCCCUCUCCUGUGCUCACCCCUUUGAUUUAAUUUACUGUAAAGCACUGAGCAGCUUCUGCGCUGGGUGUGGGCAGGGAGCAUCCCCUCGCCCCCCUCACCGGCCUCCCUGGGGGGCCCUGGUGGCUUUCGGGGUGGCUUCCUGCAGGCCUACUUUGGAAGGUGGCCAGGCCUGUGCACACCUGGUCCCCUGCCUCACCAACAGACGACACCCGCAUGUGCACACGUGCCCUCAGUCUCCUCCUGGGACACAUCCCUGACAUCAUGGAGAAAACAAGCACAGGAUGGGACCCAGGCCCCCAGCAGGGCCCCAAGGUGGCCUGAGACCCAGGAAGAGGGGCCCAGCGCCCCCACUCGAGAGAGUCGCAGACAGAGCCCCCACGCUGCAUGCCAGCCAUCGGGAACCUGCCUGGCGGGACAAGGCCGCUCUCGCUGUGGGGUUUUCCUUUCCCUACUUUCGAAUGUUCUUUGUGUGUUAGGGACCUUCCCCUUCCACCUGAGUCACGGUUCCAAAUGUUUUCUCCCAGGUCAUUUGCCUUGCAGGCCUGCUUGUCUCUGUUCUUGUGAGGCUGUUUUUCAG